rnacentral:lncRNA from 1 species
GCUCUCAUACGGAUUAUUGGCAAUGCCGGCUUGAAGGCGAGGAAACCCAAAUCUGCUAGAAUGUUUAGAAAAUAUUUUUCAAUGAAAAAAAUGGAGGUUUAGAAAAGGAUUUGGAAAUAAAUCAGAAAUAAAAUGGGAAUAAGGAAAGAAAACUAACCUCAUGCCCCUAGGCACGGCACCCGGAGUCGGUGGCCAGUUUAGAAUCGUACUUGGUACGCCGUAUUUUCUCAAUUUUCAAAGUCCGUCAAGUAGAAGUGAUCAGUAUCAGGUGGAAUAGGGCACGAGAGUAUUGGGAAUAUGAUUUACGGAUGUCCGGCAUAUAUCUCUGGCUUAGGUUUUUCAAGAUUCAAGGGCGGAGUGUCGAGUGG